GACCUGUUGGCACAGUUGGUCGUGCACCCGCUGACAUAUGCCCAGGCUAAAUGAGUUUUAGCGAGAGUCUCCAGUUCAAUUCUGGUACAGGUCA